rnacentral:lncRNA from 1 species
AUGCGCCCCCCGGCUCCCCGCUCUGCUCCCCACGCAGCAUCCUCCCCGCCAGAACCCGCUCUCGGGGCGGAGUCACCGAUGCUAACUCCGGCUCUGCCGUUUGCCGUCACCUUAAAACUUACAAAGGGCCACUCGCCUGUAGAAAUGAAAGCGGACGCUGCUGAGGUGCAUGAGGUCAAGAGUCAAGUCCUCUCCCCAGGUGUGUCGAAGCCUCGCCCACAGGAGCCAGGCGGACUGGGGGUGGCAGUUGCCAGACCGCGUCCACCCCCGUGCCUCCACGGGCCCCGCCCGCCACCAGAGCGCUUGCAGGACCGGAGCGGGGGGAGCCUGUGCCCUGGCAGGAAGGGCUCGGGGCCUCCGGCUGCGCUGGGAGGACGGGGCGGCGGGCACCGGGCCCCAGGGCUCGCACGCCCGGGCCGAUUGGAAGCCCGACGCCAGGCUGCUCAGCUGAGGUGCGGCCGGAACAGCGAGGGGCGGCCCCGGCCUCUGGGUGUCCGAAGCCGUCAGAUGCAGAGCUUCUCUUAGUUGGCUUUGCUUCCUCCGCGCUGGCCGGGCCACCUGUCCCCGCUUGGUACCCGGUGGGAGCACAGGGGUCCCUCUGCACGGCCAGGAACGGGCUUGCUCCCUGGGCCAGGGCUCAGCGCACUGUGACCUUCGGGGCCUGGUCCUGAGCGCACCCCCGCGCUGGGGAUGGUUGGUGGCUCUACAGAACCAUGUGGAUCUGGUGAGGGGAUUUCCUGCAGGAAGCAGGGCAUCUGCUGUGGGAAGCAUGGCUAGGAGGCCCACGCCCUGGCCCCGUGGAAGUCACACGUUCUCCCUGCACUCACACCCACGACUCCGGGGGCCCCGCCUGGCACAGUGCAGCCGUGCGAGGGUAAAAACACCUCCCUCCCGAGAGAGGUUGACCUAGGGCACUUGCCCGUGGCAAUGGGAGGUGACUGGGGCCAUAGUCCCCUGGGGCGUGUCCACCUCCCUGAGUUCUGGUGAGAUCCUGCCCAGAGUGUGCAGCCUCAAGUAGGUGCCAGAACUACCCACUGCCUGCGUGUCUGAGACCCCACAGCAGGAGGAAGGAAGAGCAGAGGAGCAGAGAGUAAGAUGCAUUCAAGCCCAGACAAGUCAGAACGGCCCCCUUUCUUCUCCCCGUCGGGUCACAAACUACCCGACUGGUGGUCCCCGUGCUGUUGACCUUCCAUAUUGGUGCCCCGGGCGGGUGGCCUCUCCCUGGUAGGCUGACCUAACCUUUACUGCUGAGGAGGUCGGAGCCCUUGUGCCUUCUGGCCUCCUGGGAUUGCACGGUCCGCCAUGAACACAUCUGCACACUGUGGAGGAUCGUUCCUGAGGUCCCCAGGCCCACCGUGUCCUCCUGCCCACGGAAGGCCAGACUGGUAACCCCACACCCUCUUUGCCCAUUCACCCGGUGUGGCCCCAGCUCCCAUCUCCUGGCCGGGCAGUGUCCUCCCCUGCGUAACACAGUGCCGCUCUGAUCGGGACAGAGAGCAGAGCCCUCGUUCGCUGCAUGAUGGAA